UAUUAAAAGUGUCAUUGUUGUGCGUCAACUUAUAAACAUAUUUUUAAAAAAACCCAACCCGGCCCUGCUUCCCUAAAUGACCCUCAUAUCCUCUUUGCACAAUGGAGAGUCAGCGAGUGGAAGACAGGAAGAUGAGUUUGAAAUAUCCGGGGGUGUUUGAGUUUCUCCAAGUGUCGGGCUAAGACAAACAGAAUCCGUGUGAUUCGGUCCAAGACAGCUCCAAGGGGGCUCGGUUGCGGGCGAGACGCCCUAGAGAGAGGGCCCCAUAAACAAUGCCGUAAACACUGCAUCGCGGGCUCGUUCGGCUCGGCGGGGUCCUCAUUUUUUACUAAUAUUACCGUUUGAUGGUUGUUUAUUUUAGGGUUUAUGUCUUCGGUUUGCUUUCGGGUUAUGGGAUUUUUUCUAGGGCGGGUUAUAAUGUUCGCCCAUAUACCAUAUUUAGUAUCAUUGGAUUCGGAGAUUUAUUGCUCUCGUUAGGAGCUUUUCGAUUAAAGUGAGUCAAAGAGGCGAAAAGAUCGGUUCAGAGGGAAACGGACAGGUGGAAAGAAACUGCAAGCCGUAAAUUGCCAACGGGUGCAGAUGGUGACCUUAUGACUUGUACCUCAGGUUCUACGUUUUUUUAGAAGUUGAACGCAUAUAAGGGGUCAUUUUCUACUUAGUUAAUUAUACCAGUUAUAGUAGAGACUACCUACCUUGAUUAUAAAACGACUAUUUAAGAAUUUAUUGUUUAGUAGUUUACCUACCUAUUUUACAAAUAAAAAAAAAUAUUUUCCAAUAGAUACUAAUUAAAAAUGUUGCUGGUACUCAAA